UGCAUAUGAUUGCGUGGCAAGUGAAUGAUCAGACUUAAUGGUUAGCCGUUGGAAUAUUUAGCUUUAUCCGUUGAAAUCUUGGUGGCUGCGUAUCAGAUUUUGCAGUUACCGUAAGGCUAACGGAACACAAAAAGACACAAAACUAGAGUUGUCUGUCGAGAAUGCCAAGUCAGAUAACUAAGUAACUAGCCUACACAAUAUCAUCUUAAAUGUUAUGAAAGAACUGUGGUCUAAAUUAAUUAUGUCUGAGAAAGUUGCCAUAUUGACGACGACUUUAGUAAUCUGAAAACAA